GAUGAACGCUGGCGGCGUGCCUAAUACAUGCAAGUCGAGCGAAGCGGGGACGGGUGAGUAACGCGUGGAUAACCUCCUAUAAGACUGGGAUAACUUCGGGAAACCGGAGCUAAACCGGAUACUAAUAGAUGGAUCCGCGCUGCAUUGGCUAGUUGGUAAGGUAACGGCUUACCAAGGCGACGAUGCAUAGCCGGCCUGAGAGGUUGAUCGGCCACACUGGAACUGAGACACGGUCCAGACUCCUACGGGAGGCAGCAGUAGGGAAUCUUCCGCAAUGGGCGCAAGCCUGACGGAGCCACGCCGCGUGAGUGAUGAAGGUCUUCGGGUCGUAAAGCUCUGUUAUUAGGGAAGCGUUACCUAAACAGGAAGCCACGGCUAACUACGUGCCAGCAGCCGCGGUAAUAC
rnacentral:rRNA from 1 species